GUCGAUCGCUACACAUCUUAAUGUUGAAAGUUGGUGCUGACACUCCAGGAAAUGUCGGGCCACAGGUUUGUCUGACUUGCCAUCACGAUAGGCAAGCCGGAUAUUUGACCUGUGUCCCUGAAUUCUUUCACAAAGCGCAGUCUCAGUUUUCCCAACAUAAUUUAGGACACAUGGGCAACUGAGUUUUUAAAUCACGUGAUCUGUUCAACAAUGU